rnacentral:rRNA from 1 species
CCUACGGGAGGCAGCAGUGGGGGAUAUUGCACAAUGGGGGGAACCCUGAUGCAGCGACGCCGCGUGGGUGAAGAAGCGCCUCGGCGCGUAAAGCCCUGUCAGCAGGGAAGAAAAUGACGGUAUCUGAAGAAGAAGCACCGGCUAACUACGUGCCAGCAGCCGCGGUAAUACGGAGGGGGCAAGCGUUAUCCGGAUUUACUGGGUGUAAAGGGGGCGCAGGCGGCGUUGCAAGCCAGUUGUGAAAGCCGGGGGCUUAACCCCGGGACUGCUUUUGGAACUGCUUGUCUGGAGUGUAGGAGGGGCAGGCGGAAUUCCUGGUGUAGCGGUGAAAUGCGUAGAGAUCAGGAGGAACACCCGUGGCGAAGGCGGCCUGCUGGACUACAACUGACGUUGAGGCCCGAAAGCGUGGGGAGCAAACAGGAUUAGAUACCCCAGUAGUC